UUAAAUUGUGUUGUAAUAUAUCAAAAUAUUACAUCAAAGAUAAAAAUAUGUAGUGUAACUGUAAAAGCAAAUGUGAAAAAAAAACAAUCCUACUUAAUUUGUUUUCCAACCAAUUCUGAAUUAUGUGAUAUUUGGAUUUGUGAGUGCAAUAAGACAAAACUAAAUACGAAAAAUGCUAAAAUAUGCUCCUUCCAUUUUGACAGUCAGGAUUACACAUUAAAAAGUAAUCUUUUAAAUCUUUCUUCAAAAGAGAAGAGUAACAACUUCAACUAUUUCAACAUUGAUGUUAUCUCAAAAGCCGUCAAAGAGGACAUUAAGAGUUAGUAAGAGAAGAAGCUACCUGUCUCUUAGUUUCAAAGUAAUGUUUUUUCACAUAAAGUUCAGAAAAUUCAUUUGAUUUGAAAAAUAUUUUUAAUUAUAAUUGUGGUUACGAAAACUUAAAUAAUGUUCCUUAAGUUUCUACAACUGAAAUUCAAACUGAGUAAGGCCAAGAAUAUUUACUUUGAAUUUAUUAUUCAAAUCUAAUAAUGGUAUAUGCAGUUAUAAUUUUUAAAGACGAUUUUGAAUGUGCGCUGCAAUUACUACUAUUUAAAUAGCGAAGGAAGUGCAUACAAAAAUUUAGAAAAACAAAAUGCUGAAUUGAUUGAGGAAACAAAUCAACUAAAUAAUAAUUUAACAAAUAUGGAAAAGUCAGUGAAAAAGUUUUCAUUCAAGGGCAGAUAAAAAAUUACAAAAAAAAAGGUUAAAUGGAAUGUAAUAGAUAUGUACUUGCGCAAUAGGUUUAUACUCACCAGGUCCUCGUGCAAAAAUAAUUAUCCGUUACCAGGUGAAUAAACUUAAAGAAAAUGCUCUUGAAAGAAAUACAAGUAGAUGUAACGAAAACAUGGUUUAGUCAUCCAGAGAGGGUAGAUAAGAAAGCUUCGUUUUUGCUGAUGGACCUAAUUUAUUGAAAUUACUAAGAAACCAUUUCUUAGAUACAGGAUAUCUAUAUAAAAAUAAAAAUAUUUCUGCGGAACCUACUAAACAAAUAUUAAAUUUAAAUACAGGCAAUUCAUCACGCUUAACAAUCAUAAAGUAUCAGAAUUACAACAUACAGUUAAAAACACUCAACCGCAAAAUGUAAAGUUAGCUACUUAAUUAAUUUCCCAAUCGAUAUCAUCCUUUUUAUGUAGAGUUGCUUAUCUUGGCAAAUGCAAUACUGAAAAUGCAAUCUAAUGCCCAGUAUUAAAUCUGUAAAUGAUUGGUUUGAUGUAUUGAACGGCACAGUUAUCAAAAUUUAUUUCAGGAAUCGAAAAGCAGCUUAUGGUUUAACUCAUGAAGAACAAAAUGAAAUUCUUCAUAAAUUUGAUGUUAUAACAUUUAACUUAAGAAUAAAAUAUGGUUAAAAUAAUUUGCUGCCUUUCCAAAAGGGUACCUUAAUUAGUAAUAAGUCAUUAAGGGAACUAUGCUUACUUAAAAGAUAGUUAUGAAUUUAAUUUUAUUUUAACAAAUCAAAACGCUUUAGAAAUUUUUUUUAACCAUAUUUGAUUUAAUGGUGGUCUUAACGAUCAUCGCACUAGUUUAAAGUUUAAAUAUCGUUUACGGUUGUACUUAUUGAGUUAGUUUUAAAUAUAGUAUAAAAAAUAUCUUAUUGCUAAUGCAA